UUAAGUUAUUAAGGGCGCACGGUGGAUGCCUUGGCACUAGAAGCCGAUGAAGGACGUUACUAACGACGAUAUGCUUUGGGGAGCUGUAAGUAAGCUUUGAUCCAGAGAUUUCCGAAUGGGGAAACCCAGCAUGAGUUAUGUCAUGUUAUCGAUAUGUGAAUACAUAGCAUAUCAGAAGGCACACCCGGAGAACUGAAACAUCUUAGUACCCGGAGGAAGAGAAAGAAAAUUCGAUUCCCUUAGUAGCGGCGAGCGAAACGGGAAGAGCCCAAACCAACAAGCUUGCUUGUUGGGGUUGUAGGACACUCUAUACGGAGUUACAAAGGACGACAUUAGACGAAUCAUCUGGAAAGAUGAAUCAAAGAAGGUAAUAAUCCUGUAGUCGAAAAUGUUGUCUCUCUUGAGUGGAUCCUGAGUACGACGGAGCACGUGAAAUUCCGUCGGAAUCUGGGAGGACCAUCUCCUAAGGCUAAAUACUCUCUAGUGACCGAUAGUGAACCAGUACCGUGAGGGAAAGGUGAAAAGCACCCCGGAAGGGGAGUGAAAUAGAACCUGAAACCGUGUGCUUACAAGUAGUCAGAGCCCGUUAAUGGGUGAUGGCGUGCCUUUUGUAGAAUGAACCGGCGAGUUACGAUUUGAUGCAAGGUUAAGCAGUAAAUGUGGAGCCGUAGCGAAAGCGAGUCUGAAUAGGGCGUUUAGUAUUUGGUCGUAGACCCGAAACCAGGUGAUCUACCCUUGGUCAGGUUGAAGUUCAGGUAACACUGAAUGGAGGACCGAACCGACUUACGUUGAAAAGUGAGCGGAUGAACUGAGGGUAGCGGAGAAAUUCCAAUCGAACCUGGAGAUAGCUGGUUCUCUCCGAAAUAGCUUUAGGGCUAGCCUCAAGUGAUGAUUAUUGGAGGUAGAGCACUGUUUGGACGAGGGGCCCCUCUCGGGUUACCGAAUUCAGACAAACUCCGAAUGCCAAUUAAUUUAACUUGGGAGUCAGAACAUGGGUGAUAAGGUCCGUGUUCGAAAGGGAAACAGCCCAGACCACCAGCUAAGGUCCCAAAAUAUAUGUUAAGUGGAAAAGGAUGUGGCGUUGCCCAGACAACUAGGAUGUUGGCUUAGAAGCAGCCAUCAUUUAAAGAGUGCGUAAUAGCUCACUAGUCGAGUGACACUGCGCCGAAAAUGUACCGGGGCUAAACAUAUUACCGAAGCUGUGGAUUGUCCUUUGGACAAUGGUAGGAGAGCGUUCUAAGGGCGUUGAAGCAUGAUCGUAAGGACAUGUGGAGCGCUUAGAAGUGAGAAUGCCGGUGUGAGUAGCGAAAGACGGGUGAGAAUCCCGUCCACCGAUUGACUAAGGUUUCCAGAGGAAGGCUCGUCCGCUCUGGGUUAGUCGGGUCCUAAGCUGAGGCCGACAGGCGUAGGCGAUGGAUAACAGGUUGAUAUUCCUGUACCACCUAUAAUCGUUUUAAUCGAUGGGGGGACGCAGUAGGAUAGGCGAAGCGUGCGAUUGGAUUGCACGUCUAAGCAGUAAGGCUGAGUAUUAGGCAAAUCCGGUACUCGUUAAGGCUGAGCUGUGAUGGGGAGAAGACAUUGUGUCUUCGAGUCGUUGAUUUCACACUGCCGAGAAAAGCCUCUAGAUAGAAAAUAGGUGCCCGUACCGCAAACCGACACAGGUAGUCAAGAUGAGAAUUCUAAGGUGAGCGAGCGAACUCUCGUUAAGGAACUCGGCAAAAUGACCCCGUAACUUCGGGAGAAGGGGUGCUCUUUAGGGUUAACGCCCAGAAGAGCCGCAGUGAAUAGGCCCAAGCGACUGUUUAUCAAAAACACAGGUCUCUGCUAAACCGUAAGGUGAUGUAUAGGGGCUGACGCCUGCCCGGUGCUGGAAGGUUAAGAGGAGUGGUUAGCUUCUGCGAAGCUACGAAUCGAAGCCCCAGUAAACGGCGGCCGUAACUAUAACGGUCCUAAGGUAGCGAAAUUCCUUGUCGGGUAAGUUCCGACCCGCACGAAAGGCGUAACGAUUUGGGCACUGUCUCAACGAGAGACUCGGUGAAAUCAUAGUACCUGUGAAGAUGCAGGUUACCCGCGACAGGACGGAAAGACCCCGUGGAGCUUUACUGUAGCCUGAUAUUGAAAUUCGGCACAGCUUGUACAGGAUAGGUAGGAGCCUUUGAAACGUGAGCGCUAGCUUACGUGGAGGCGCUGGUGGGAGACUACCCUAGCUGUGUUGGCUUUCUAACCCGCACCACUUAUCGUGGUGGGAGACAGUGUCAGGCGGGCAGUUUGACUGGGGCGGUCGCCUCCUAAAAGGUAACGGAGGCGCUCAAAGGUUCCCUCAGAAUGGUUGGAAAUCAUUCAUAGAGUGUAAAGGCAUAAGGGAGCUUGACUGCGAGACCUACAAGUCGAGCAGGGUCGAAAGACGGACUUAGUGAUCCGGUGGCUCCGCAUGGAAGGGCCAUCGCUCAACGGAUAAAAGCUACCCCGGGGAUAACAGGCUUAUCUCCCCCAAGAGUUCACAUCGACGGGGAGGUUUGGCACCUCGAUGUCGGCUCAUCGCAUCCUGGGGCUGUAGUCGGUCCCAAGGGUUGGGCUGUUCGCCCAUUAAGCGGUACGCGAGCUGGGUUCAGAACGUCGUGAGACAGUUCGGUCCCUAUCCGUCGUGGGCGUAGGAAAUUUGAGAGGAGCUGUCCUUAGUACGAGAGGACCGGGAUGGACAUACCUCUGGUGUACCAGUUGUCGUGCCAACGGCAUAGCUGGGUAGCUAUGUGUGGACGGGAUAAGUGCUGAAAGCAUCUAAGCAUGAAGCCCCCCUCAAGAUGAGAUUUCCCAACUUCGGUUAUAAGAUCCCUCAAAGAUGAUGAGGUUAAUAGGUUCGAGGUGGAAGCAUGGUGACAUGUGGAGCUGACGAAUACUAAUCGAUCGAAGACUUAAUCAA
rnacentral:rRNA from 1 species